CUACGGGCCGCUGCAGUGAGGAAUUUUGCGCAAUGGGGGAAACCCUGACGCAGCAACGCCGCGUGAGCGAAGAAGGCCUUCGGGUCGUAAAGCUCUGUCAAGUGGGAAAAAAAUCUUUUGGUCAAUAGUCAAAAGACUUGAUGGUACCACUGGAGGAAGCACCGGCUAACUCCGUGCCAGCAGCCGCGGUAAUACGGAGGGUGCAAGCGUUGUUCGGAUUUACUGGGCGUAAAGAGCGUGUAGGCGGUUUAGCAAGUCAGAUGUGAAAGCCCUGGGCUCAACCCGGGAAGUGCAUUUGAAACUGGUGCACUAGAGUAUGGGAGAGGAGAUUGGAAUUCCUGGUGUAGAGGUGAAAUGCGUAGAUAUCAGGAGGAACACCCGUGGCGAAGGCGAUUCUCUGGACCAAUACUGACGCUGAGACGCGAAAGCGUGGGGAGCAAACAGGAUUAGAUACCCCCGUAGUC
rnacentral:rRNA from 1 species